rnacentral:rRNA from 1 species
UCAAGUGAAAUAAGGGCAAUUGGUGGAUGCCUUGGCAUGCACAGGCGAUGAAGGACGUGAUACGCUGCGAUAAGCCGUGGGGAGCCGCGAAUAGGCUUUGAUCCAUGGAUCUCCGAAUGGGGAAACCCACCUUAGAUGCUUGGAAAAUUUAAGAUCGUCUUCGGACGGUCUUAUCUUUCCAAGCAUUGAGAUAAGGUAUCUGCACCUGAAUAUAUAGGGUGUAAGAAGCGAACGCAGGGAACUGAAACAUCUAAGUACCUGCAGGAAAGGACAUCAACCGAGACUCCGUUAGUAGUGGCGAGCGAACGCGGACCAGGCCAGUGGCAUCAAGUUAUAAAGUGGAACGGAAUGGAAAGUCCGGCCUUAGCGGGUGAUAGCCCCGUACAUGUAGAAAGCUUGAUGUCCUUGAGUAGGGCGGGACACGUGAAAUCCUGUCUGAACAUGGGGGGACCACCCUCCAAGCCUAAGUACUCCUCAAUGACCGAUAGCGAACAAGUACCGUGAGGGAAAGGUGAAAAGCACCCCGACAAGGGGAGUGAAAUAGAACCUGAAACCGGUUGCCUACAAACAGUGGAAGCCCGCAAGGGUGACUGCGUACCUUUUGUAUAAUGGGUCAACGACUUAGUGUAACAAGCAAGCUUAAGCCGGUAGGUGUAGGCGCAGCGAAAGCGAGUCUGAAUAGGGCGAUUUAGUUUGUUGCAUUAGACCCGAAACCAGGUGAUCUAGCCAUGAGCAGGUUGAAGGUUGGGUAACACCAACUGGAGGACCGAACCCGCAUCUGUUGCAAUAGAUUGGGAUGACUUGUGGCUAGGGGUGAAAGGCCAAUCAAACCUGGACAUAGCUGGUUCUCCGCGAAAUCUAUUUAGGUAGAGCGUCGAUCGAAUACCCCCGGGGGUAGAGCACUGGAUGGGCUAUGGGGACUCACCGUCUUACUGAUCCUAACCAAACUCCGAAUACCGGGGAGUACUAAUCGGCAGACACACGGCGGGUGCUAACGUCCGUCGUGAAAAGGGCAACAACCCUAAUCUCCAGCUAAGGUCCCCAAGUCAUGGCUAAGUGGGAAAGGAUGUGAGACUCCCAAAACAACCAGGAUGUUGGCUUAGAAGCAGCCAUCAUUUAAAGAAAGCGUAACAGCUCACUGGUCUAAUUAAGGGGUUUUGCGCCGAAAAUGUAACGGGGCUAAAGCCAUGCACCGAAGCUGAGAAUGUGUAGCAAUACACGUGGUAGCGGAGCGUUCCGUAAGCCUGUGAAGGAGGACCCGUGAGGGCCUCUGGAGGUAUCGGAAGUGCGAAUGUUGACAUGAGUAACGAUAAAGGGAGUGAGAGACUCCCUCGCCGAAAGACCAAGGGUUCCUGCUUAAAGUUAAUCUGAGCAGGGUUAGCCGGCCCCUAAGGUGAGGCAGAAAUGCGUAGCCGAUGGGAACCACGUUAAUAUUCGUGGGCCUGGUGGUAGUGACGGAUUGCGUAACUUGUUCAAUCUUAUUGGAUUGAUUGGGCAGGGAAGCGGUUCCAGGAAAUAGCUCCACCGUAUAGACCGUACCCGAAACCGACACAGGUGGUCAGGUAGAGUAUACCAAGGCGCUUGAGAGAACUAUGCUGAAGGAACUCGGCAAAUUGCACGCGUAACUUCGGAAGAAGCGUGACCCUAUAGUACGCAAGUAUUGUAGGGUGGCACAGACCAGGGGGUAGCGACUGUUUAUCAAAAACACAGGGCUCUGCGAAGUAGCAAUACGACGUAUAGGGUCUGACGCCUGCCCGGUGCUGGAAGGUUAAGAGGAGAGGUGCAAGCUUUGAAUCGAAGCCCCAGUAAACGGCGGCCGUAACUAUAACGGUCCUAAGGUAGCGAAAUUCCUUGUCGGGUAAGUUCCGACCUGCACGAAUGGCGUAAC